rnacentral:rRNA from 1 species
CCCUUAGAUGUUCUGGGCCGCACGCGCGCUACACUGUUCGACGCAGCGAGUCUUAACCUUGACCGAAAGGUUUGGGUAAUCUUCAGCAAAGUCGAACGUGAUGGGGAUCGAUCAUUGCAAUUAUUGAUCGUGAACGAGGAAUUCCUAGUAAGUGAAAGUCAUCAGCUUGCGCUGAUUACGUCCCUGCCCUUUGUACACACCGCCCGUCGCUACUACCGAUUGAAUGGUUUAGUGAGAUCUCUGGAUUGACGCUGGCUAGGGGGCGACCCUUGGCCAGACUGUUGAGAAACUGCUCAAACUUGAUCAUUUAGAGGAAGUAAAAGUCGUAACA